CUAAAUAUUUAUGGGAUCAAGGCCCAUCGAUCUAG
rnacentral:tRNA from 1 species